UACGUAGGGUGCGAGCGUUAAUCGGAAUUACUGGGCGUAAAGGGUGCGCAGGCGGCGUCGCAAGUCAGGCGUGAAAUCCCCGGGCUUAACCUGGGAACUGCACUUGAAACUACGAUGCUGGAGUAUGGCAGAGGGGAGGUGGAAUUCCACGUGUAGUGGUGAAAUGCGUAGAGAUGUGGAGGAACACCGAUGGCGAAGGCAGCCUCCUGGGCCAAUACUGACGCUCAUGCACGAAAGCGUGGGGAGCAAACAGG
rnacentral:rRNA from 1 species